GACGAACGCUGGCGGCGUGCUUAACACAUGCAAGUCGAACGAAGUGGCGGACGGGUGAGUAACGCGUAAUCAACCUGCCCUUCAGAGGGGGACAACAGUUGGAAACGACGGCUAAAACCGCAUACUGAAGGAGGGGAUUGCGGCUGAUUAGCUAGUUGGAGGGGUAACGGCCCACCAAGGCGAUGAUCCGUAGCCGGGCUGGGAGGAUGAACGGCCCAAUUUGGACUGGGACACGGCCCAGACUCCUACGGGAGGCAGCAGUGGGGAAUCUUCCGCAAUGGACGGAAGUCUGACGGAGCAACGCCGGGUGAGUGAUGACGGCCUUCGGGUUGUAAAGCUCUGUUAAUCGGGACGCGGUACCGGAAUAGAAAGCCACGGCUAACUACGUGCCAGCAGCCGCGGUAAUAC
rnacentral:rRNA from 1 species